CGUGUAGGCGGGGAUGAAAGUCAGAUGUGAAAUACUGCGGCCCAACUGCAGAACUGCAUCUGAAACUUCAUUUCUUGAGUACUGGAGAGGAAAGCGGAAUUCCUAGUGUAGCGGUGAAAUGCGUAGAUAUUAGGAGGAACACCGGUGGCGAAGGCGGCUUUCUGGACAGUAACUGACGCUGAGACGCGAAAGCGUGGGGAGCAAACA
rnacentral:rRNA from 1 species